CCUUCCUGCGGCGCCUUAGGGACCAUGGCCGAUCCUCGCGUGAGGCAGAUCAAGAUCAAGACCGGAGUAGUGAGGCGAUUGGUCAAAGAAAGAGUGAUGUACGAAAAAGAAGCAAAGCAGCAAGAAGAAAAGAUUGAAAAAAUGAAGGCUGAAGAUGGAGAGAACUACGCCACUAAGAAGCAGGCAGAGAUCCUGCAAGAGUCCCGGAUGAUGAUCCCAGAUUGCCAGCGUCGGUUAGAGGCUGCAUAUACUGAUCUUCAGCAGAUAUUAGAAAGUGAAAAAGACUUGGAAGAAGCCGAGGAGUAUAAAGAAGCCCGUGUAGUGCUGGAUUCCGUAAAGCUAGAAGCCUGACAUUUUUCUGUA